GAACUAUUACCGAAGAUUCAUCGUAAGUUACUCGAAGAGGGCUGCUCAACUCAAAAAUCUCCUAAAGAAGGACGUACGGACCGAUCAUGGCACUGCACUGAUGGGAAGAGUGUCAAAGAGCUUUUGAGGACCUAAAGCAGGCAGUGAUUGAUGACCCCGUAUUGCAGUUGCCAGAUCACACUAAGCCAUUUGAAGUACACACGGAUGCGUCAGACUAUGCCAUAGGCGGUGUGCUAGUACAAUAAGGUAACCCAGU
rnacentral:misc_RNA from 1 species